rnacentral:lncRNA from 7 species
AAGUUUCAGGAGGUUCCUUGCAUCUAUCUCUUUGCAAUGUGAUCUAGGGGCUUAGAGACUUCCUGCUGGUAUGCCUUCUUGAGCUGAGGAUAGUUGUUAUCUUCAAUUUAAACCUAAAUAUUGUAGAACAUCCAGCUGCUUCUGUCUGUACUGGCACUGACCGAUCUCUGGUUUCAGGGGUUUCUUGGCAUGGAGAGAUUGAGGAAAAAUAUAAUUGGCAAAAAUUACAAGAUAGAUAAAGCAGAGGUGUGACUUCAGGACAGCCUUGUUCUGAAUCCUCUGGGACUUGAGAAAUCUCAGCUGAGCAGCAGGAUAUUGCAACUUAAUUUGUUAAAGCCUGCUUAUGCAAGGUUCAGAGCCUCAAACAUAAAAGAAAUUUCUAUUUCUGUGCUUUCAUCGUUUGGGACCAACCACCUUUUUGUUAAGACAAUUUAAAGAGAGUGGCUGUGACAUCAAGAACAAGCCCCUUACGCUUAUCUGUGGAGGUGAAAGAAUGUGACUUUUUUUUUCACUCCUUAUUUGCCUUUUGGAGCAGGACAUGCUUGGCUUCUGCCUUGCCCCUUCUGUGGUUGACUUCUUUCUACCACCUGUCUUUCUCUUUGAGGAACAAGAAUGUUGAUGCCAAUGUUUUAGAAAGAUGUACGUCCCUUGGACUUGGCCAGAUACAAUUAUUACUUGUCUACAGAGCACAGAAUGAAGCUGUAGUAUGGACUCCUUUCAAAAAGGCAGCAACAAAAAUAAGACUCAGAGUAAAGUGAUUGAUGGCAGGUAGCAUGGGGCUGUUUGCUGAUGGAGUCCUUAAAUAGAACACCAGACAACUUUGGAUAUACCUGACAUUGGGAGGUAGAACUGCUGAUAAAAUCUUUGAUUAUGUGAUAUGACAUUGUCUGUAGCUCUAAAGUACCUGAGUGUGUGCAGCACAUGAAUUGCUCUGGUUGCUCAGAUUUUCUCCUGCAUUUACUCCUUCCACACGUCAGGAGUCAUGAUGUGAAAGAAAAGCUACAAGAAAUGGAACGAAGUAAUAGGGGAAUAAUGGCUCACUAUUGCUGUGGCUUCAUUAAUUCGAGUGGUAAAAGCUUGCACUAAGAUGCACCUAAAGCUCUCACUGCGGUGCAAGCUGCUUUAAGAAGAUUCGUAUUUUUGAGCUUGUUGCCAACUGGUUAAGGAACCAUCUGUUCCAGUGUGGAGAGUUUCUCCCUGGAUGACCAACUGUGUGAAAAGGCAUUAUGAGAUAGCUGGGAAGAAGUGUCCUGCUCACUCAGACAGAACUGAAGCAUUACUGAUGCAUCCUUGCAGAAUGUGCCUGUAGCUACCAUGUGAGUCCUGCUCACACUGUUCUUGCUGAAACUUUGCAAUGAGGCUGCUUCCAGGAGGUCGGGCCUUCAGUCUGUUCUUCCUAGGGGCUCUGUCAUCGUGUAAGUGUUGGGGUACUGCUUGAAAUCAGAUGGUUUGUAAAGGGCACAUGUAGAGAAACACCUGAAGGAGAAAGAUACUGCUUUUUUUGGUGGUGAUGUUGUGCCUAACUGUAUGUUUGCUUCCUAGCCACUACCCCCUUUUAUAGCAUUGUAAGCAGUGGCUGUAGAUAAGCUAUCAGUACUCCAAAGGUAAAGGUUUCUGGCUUCUGAGGUUUGCUUCUUGGUGCAUCCACAGAGUGGAUACAGACAACAUACGUCAGUGAACAAGAGCAGACACAUAAUCCAUCUUUUUACUAACUAGCUUUGUACCAGAAAUGCAACAACUGCAAUUUCAGCUUGGUGGGAAGUUUUGUCUUUAACAUCUCUCAUUCUUCAAAGCAAAAGUGAGAACAAAGAAUGUUGACUUUAUAUGUGUGUGUGAAAUGUAUUCCCAAAACAGUGUCAUGACAAAGCAAUUAGUUUAAUUUUAAUAAAAUGUCAAUGACAUU